rnacentral:rRNA from 1 species
ACGGGAGGCAGCAGUGGGGAAUAUUGCACAAUGGGGGAAACCCUGAUGCAGCGACGCCGCGUGAGUGAAGAAGUAUUUCGGUAUGUAAAGCUCUAUCAGCAGGGAAGAAAAUGACGGUACCUGACUAAGAAGCCCCGGCUAACUACGUGCCAGCAGCCGCGGUAAUACGUAGAGGGCAAGCGUUAUCCGGAUUUACUGGGUGUAAAGGGAGCGUAGACGGCGAUGCAAGUCUGAUGUGAGAGCCCGGGGCUCAACCCCGGCACUGCAUUGGAAACUGUGUUGCUAGAGUGCAGGAGAGGUAAGUGGAAUUCCUAGUGUAGCGGUGAAAUGCGUAGAUAUUAGGAGGAACACCAGUGGCGAAGGCGGCUUACUGGACUGUAACUGACGUUGAGGCGCGAAAGCGUGGGGAUCAAACAGGAUUAGAUACCCUGGUA